rnacentral:misc_RNA from 1 species
GAAAUGCGAUACUUGGUGUGAAUUGCAGAAUUCAGUGAAUCAUCGAAUCUUUGAACGCACAUUGCGCCCGCCAGCCAUUCUGGCGGGCAUGCCUGUCCGAGCGUCAUUUCAACCAUCAAGCCCCAGGCUUGUGUUGGGGAGCUGCGGGCCCUCCGGGGCGCGCAGGCCCUGAAAACCAGUGGCGGGCUCGCUGUCACCCCGAGCGUAGUAGCAACACCUCGCCCAGGGAGUGCCGCGGGCUCCGGCCGUAAAACUCUCGCCCUCGCGGCGAGAGCACACCAAAGGUUGACCUCGGAUCAGGUAGGAAGACCCGCUGAACUUAA